CAAUAGCGUAUAUUAAAGUUGUUGCGGUAAAAAAGCUCGUAGUUGGAUUUCUACCGAAGAUAGCCGGUCGGGUCUUCGACCUUGUAUCUGGUUUUGUCUUUGGUAUCCUCAUAGGGAACGUUUCUGCGCUUUAUUGCGUGGUGCGGUAUCUAUGACUUUUACUUUGGGGAAAUUAGAGUGUUCACGGCAGGCAAACGCCUUGAAUAUAUUAGCAUGGAAUAAUAACAUAGGAUCUUCGUCCUAUUUUGUUGGUUUCUAGGGCUAAGAUAAUGAUUAAUAGGGAUAAUUGGGGGCAUCUGUAUCAACGCGUCAGAGGUGGAAUUCUUGGAUUGCGUUGCGACAAACUACUGCGAAAGCAUCUGCCAAGGAUGUUUUCAUUGA
rnacentral:rRNA from 1 species